AUUGAACGCUGGCGGAAUGCUUUACACAUGCAAGUCGAACGGUAGAGGGGGCAACCCCUCGAGAGUGGCGAACGGGUGAGUAAUAUAUCGGAACGUGCCCAGUCGUGGGGGAUAACGUAGCGAAAGCUACGCUAAUACCGCAUACGAUCUAUGGAUGAAAGCGGGGGAUCGCAAGACCUCGCGCGAUUGGAGCGGCCGAUAUCAGAUUAGGAAGUUGGUGGGGUAAAGGCCCACCAAGCCUGCGAUCUGUAGCUGGUCCGAGAGGACGACCAGCCACACUGGAACUGAGACACGGUCCAGACUCCUACGGGAGGCAGCAGUGGGGAAUUUUGGACAAUGGGCGCAAGCCUGAUCCAGCAAUGCCGCGUGCAGGAUGAAGGCCUUCGGGUUGUAAACUGCUUUUGUACGGAACGAAACGGCUUUUUCUAAUACAGAGAGCUAAUGACGGUACCGUAAGAAUAAGCACCGGCUAACUACGUGCCAGCAGCAGCCGCAG
rnacentral:rRNA from 1 species